UGCUGCAUCGGGAGGAGCAUCCCGGCCCUAGCUCAGCAAUCACAGAGAAUAUAUUUGGAAUGCUCUCGAAAACAAACAGCCUGAAAAACAGUAAAUCAAGAAGCCGGUCACAUAAAAUAUGAAGAACCAAUUAAGAGAAUUUCAGAAAAACAACAACUAAGGUCCAAGGAGGAAUUCAUUCUCUUCCCAGAGGAGGAGACCACAGUGUGGCCUGGGCGUGAGAGAACCCCCUCCACCUUGAAGCACUUUCUGCAUUAUCUUCUUCAAGAUCCCAUUGCACCUUUCUGUGAGUGAGAAUUACUUCGAAGAAGGGAAGACCAGAAACACGUUUUCUUGCCAGUUAAACUUGAACUCCCAACCUGAUGGCAGCUCCCACUUUCUGGGCAUCUGGAAAACGCGUGGAAAGAUUCCAUCUACGGAUGCUUCCCGGGCUGCGUUUACAGCUGUCUCCUGCAUCUCUGAACGAAAUGGAAAUGACCUUUGAGAUGCUCUAAUCAUUCACCUGCCUGUUCAAGUAUGAAGUAGGAUUGAGGUGCAAGCAAGGACAGAGACUGUGUAAGCAUCUGUGGUCCUCCCCACACAGCUGGCAAAGCAGGCUUGAGUGGUAAGACAUAGUCUGCUGCCAAAACAACUCAUCCUCCUCCUUCGUUCCACUGUAUGAACUCCUGCUCCUCUCACAGUGGCAAAGAGGCCAGACAAGGGGUGUGUUGUGACUAGUCUGGUCUAGUCCAGGGCAAUUACAGAAUCUAGAAUCUCUUACA
rnacentral:sRNA from 1 species